rnacentral:rRNA from 1 species
AUGUCGACGGUGCUUAAUGUGGCGGCUGCGGCGGCGGAAGGGGAGACCGACCAGGUGGUGACACCGUGGGAGGUGACCGGCGCGGCACAAGGAGGAGUCAACUACGACAAGCUGGUGGACCAAUUUGGGUGCCAACGCAUAGACACCGCGUCGCGCACCUCACGUCCAGACCACCACAUCACUUCCUCCGCCGCGGGAUCUUCUUUGCCCACCGUGAUACAGUUAACUGAUGACGAGAAGUUCCUCUGGAAGGACUUGUCUAUUGCGGAAUCUAAACGGCUUGCCCGUGAAAAUGCCAAAGACAUCAUAGCAUGUGGGUUUGACGUUGAAAGAACUUUCAUUUUCUCAGAUUUUCAAUAUGUUGGAGGUCCCUUCUAUGAAAAUAUGAUGCAAGUUGCAAAGCGUGUGACAUUUAAUACUAUUAGAGGCACAUUCGGAUUUACUCCAGAAGAUCACAUAGGAAAGUGUUGCUUUCCUCCUGUGCAGGCUGCUCCAUCGUUUGCUUCGUCAUUUCCCCAUCUCUUUGGGGGCAAUGACCAGCUGCGGUGCCUUAUUCCAUGUGCAAUAGACCAGGAUCCUUAUUUUAGGUUGACUCGUGAUGUUGCUCCUAAAAUGGGUUAUCUGAAACCUUCACUUAUUGAAUCAAAGUUUUUCCCUGCUCUCCAGGGGGAGUGUGGUAAAAUGUCUGCCAAUGACCCGAAUAGUGCAGUAUAUCUGACAGAUAAAUCUGAUAUAAUUAAAGAAAAGAUUAGGAAGUAUGCUUUCUCUGGUGGCCAGUCCACGACAGAGCUCCAAAGGAAAUAUGGAGCGAACGUCGAUGUUGAUGUCUGUAUCAAGUAUUUAAAUUUCUUCCUUGAAGAUGAUGCUGAGUUUGAGCACAUAAAGAAGGAAUACAAAGCCGGGAAUAUGCUAACAGGUGAAUUGAAAGACCGUGUCGUUGGCGUUCUAUCGAAGAUAGCAUUAGCACAUCAGAAUGCUAGAGCUCAAGUGACUGAGGAGAUGGUUGAUGCAUACAUGUCUGGGUAG